rnacentral:misc_RNA from 1 species
UUUCCGUAGGUGAACCUGCGGAAGGAUCAUUACCAUGUAACUCCGUCAUGCUACCGCGUGAACUGUACACACCCACUCUGUGUACCUCUCCUGUUGCUUCCGCUGAGUCGGGAGCAUUUCAGAUGAGUUGUCUCUCGCACAGUGAAUUGCUGUGUGGGGUUGGCAACUCUCGGUGACUGCUCUGGAUUCACAUGCCCAGCGGGAGGAUACUUAAUAUCCGCAUUUACUAUUUCAUCGGUCUGAACUAUGAACCAAAAAAAAAACUGUUAAAACUUUCAGCAACGGAUCUCUUGGUUCUC